rnacentral:rRNA from 1 species
CACGUAGGGUGCGAGCGUUGUCCGGAAUUAUUGGGCGUAAAGAGCUCGUAGGCGGUGUGUCGCGUCGGCCGUGAAAACCUGCAGCUUAACUGUGGGCGUGCGGUCGAUACGGGCAUCACUGGAGUUCGGCAGGGGAGACUGGAAUUCCUGGUGUAGCGGUGGAAUGCGCAGAUAUCAGGAGGAACAUCCGUGGCGAAGGCGGCUCUCUGGGACGGUACUGACGCUGAGACGCGAAAGCGUGGGGAGCGAACAGG